rfam:Bosea sp. Leaf344 contig_7, whole genome shotgun sequence.
GGCGUAUUUUGCCCAGGCCCCUUUCGGCGAAUGUAUGCAUUCGCCUGUCGGGUGAGAGGAGCUCGACCGCCCGUUCAAGCGAGGAUCGCGUUCAUCGACGAUCACCGCCAGGUCCAUGGGGUCGAGCCGAUCUGCAAAGUGCUGCCGAUCGCCCCC